GGCGAGAUGGCCGAGUGGUCUAAGGCGCUAGUUUCAGGACUUUGAUUCUACAGAAUCAACACCUUGUCUACUAGUCUUCACAGGCGUGGGUUCGAAUCCCACUCUCGUCA